ensembl:lncRNA
CCGGUACAGAGUCAAUGUGGAGGCUAUUUACAGGGUGUUACGGUACAGAGUCAAUGUGGAGGCUAUAUACAGGGUGUUACGGUACAGAGUCAAUGUGGAGGCUAUAUACAGGGUGUUACGGUACAGAGUCAAUGUGGAGGCUAUAUACAGGGUGUUACGGUACAGAGUCAAUGUGGAGGCUAUUUACAGGGGGUACCAGUACAGAGUCAAUGUGGAGGCUAUAUACAGGGUAUUACGGUACAGAGUCAAUGUGGAGGCUAUAUACAGGGGGUACCGGUACAGAGUCAAUGUGGAGGCUAUAUACAGGGGGUACCGGUACAGAGUCAAUGUGGAGGCUAUAUACAGGGGAUACCGGUACAGAGUCAAUGUGGAGGCUAUAUACAGGGUGUUACGGUACAGAGUCAAUGUGGAGGCUAUAUACAGGGGGUACCGGUACAGAGUCAAUGUGGAGGCUAUAUACAGGGGGUACCGGUACAGAGUCAAUGUGGAGGCUAUAUACAGGGGGUACCGGUACAGAGUCAAUGUGGAGGCUAUAUACAGGGGAUACCGGUACAGAGUCAAUGUGGAGGCUAUAUACAGGGGGUACCAGUACAGAGUCAAUGUGGAGGCUAUAUACAGGGUGUUACGGUACAGAGUCAAUGUGGAGGCUAUAUACAGGGGGGUACUGGUACAGAGUCAAUGUGGAGGCUAUAUACAGGGGGUACCGGUACAGAGUCAAUGUGGAGGCUAUAUACAGGGGGUACCGGUGUCAAGGUAAUUGAGGUAAUAUGUAUAUGUGGGUAGAGUUAUUAAAGUGACAAUGCAUAGAUAAUAACAGGGAGUAGCAGGAGUAUGGGGG